CAAAAAAUAUCUCUAAAAUUUAAUUGUACCGUCGAGGAAAUUGAUUCCUAGGCACUUGACAGACCAACGCCAUUUGAUCGGAUAAUGUCAAUUCAAUGUUAAUUGUGAUCUGUCGGCUGGGUUUGACGUAACGCGACCAAACUACG